rnacentral:rRNA from 1 species
GAUAAGGUUAAGUGAAUAAGGGCGCACGGUGGAUGCCUUGGCACUAGGAGCCGAUGAAGGACGGGACUAACACCGAUAUGCUUUGGGGAGCUGUACGUAAGCUAUGAUCCAGAGAUUUCCGAAUGGGGGAACCCAGCAUCUUUAAUAGGAUGUUACGAUUGUGUGAAUACAUAGCACAUUCGAGGUAGACGCAGAGAACUGAAACAUCUAAGUACCUGCAGGAAGAGAAAGAAAAUUCGAUUCCCUGAGUAGCGGCGAGCGAAACGGGAAAAGCCCAAACCAACAAGCUUGCUUGUUGGGGUUGUAGGACUCCAAUAUGGUCGUUCUUUCAGAUAGUCGAAUGACUUGGAAAAGUCAGUCAAAGAGGGUAAAAACCCCGUAGACGAAAUGUGGAAGACACCUAGGAGGAUCCUGAGUACGGCGGAACACGAGAAAUUCCGUCGGAAUCCGGGAGGACCAUCUCCCAAGGCUAAAUACUCCCUAGUGACCGAUAGUGAACCAGUACCGUGAGGGAAAGGUGAAAAGCACCCCGGAAGGGGAGUGAAAUAGAACCUGAAACCGUGUGCCUACAACAAGUCAAAGCCCGUUAAUGGGUGAUGGCGUGCCUUUUGUAGAAUGAACCGGCGAGUUACGAUUGCAUGCGAGGU